GGCGCUGUAGUGUAGAGGUUAUCACUCGAGAUUCUGAUAUUAAUGAAAACGUAAGAUCGUUCUCGAAACCCAGGUUCGAGUCCUGGCAGUGCCU